rnacentral:tRNA from 1 species
ACUCAAAUAGUUUAAUAAAAAUUAUAAAUUGUGGAUUUAUAGAUGUAAUAUUUACUUUGGGUA